CCUACGGGCGGCAGCAGUGAGGAAUAUUGGUCAAUGGGCGCGAGCCUGAACCAGCCAAGUCGCGUGAAGGAUGACUGCCCUACGGGUUGUAAACUUCUUUUGUAAAGGAAUAAAGUGAGGCACGUGUGCCUUUUUGUAUGUACUUUAUGAAUAAGGAUCGGCUAACUCCGUGCCAGCAGCCGCGGUAAUACGGAGGAUCCGAGCGUUAUCCGGAUUUAUUGGGUUUAAAGGGAGCGUAGCUGGGCUGUUAAGUUAGUUGUGAAAGUUUGGGGCUCAACCGUAAAAUUGCAAUUGAUACUGGCAGCCUUGAGUACAGUUGAGGUAGGCGGAAUUCGUGGUGUAGCGGUGAAAUGCUUAGAUAUCACGAAGAACACCGAUUGCGAAGGCAGCUUACUAAACUGCCACUGACAUUGAGGCUCGAAAGUGUGGGUAUCAAACAGGAUUAGAUACCCCUGUAGUC
rnacentral:rRNA from 1 species